rnacentral:rRNA from 1 species
UGGGGAAUUUUGGACAAUGGGCGAAAGCCUGAUCCAGCAAUGCCGCGUGUGUGAAGAAGGCCUUCGGGUUGUAAAGCACUUUUGUCCGGAAAGAAAUCCUUGGCUCUAAUACAGUCGGGGGAUGACGGUACCGGAAGAAUAAGCACCGGCUAACUACGUGCCAGCAGCCGCGGUAAUACGUAGGGUGCAAGCGUUAAUCGGAAUUACUGGGCGUAAAGCGUGCGCAGGCGGUUUGCUAAGACCGAUGUGAAAUCCCCGGGCUCAACCUGGGAACUGCAUUGGUGACUGGCAGGCUAGAGUAUGGCAGAGGGGGGUAGAAUUCCACGUGUAGCAGUGAAAUGCGUAGAGAUGUGGAGGAAUACCGAUGGCGAAGGCAGCCCCUGGGCCAAUACUGACGCUCAUGCACGAAAGCGUGGGGAGCAAACAGGAUUAGAUACCCUGGUAGUCCACGCCCUAAACGAUGUCAACUAGUUGUUGGGGAUUCAUUUCCUUAGUAACGUAGCUAACGCGUGAAGUUGACCGCCUGGGGAGUACGGUCGCAAGAUUAAAACUCAAAUGAAUUGACGGGGU